rnacentral:sRNA from 1 species
UCCUAGCCCUGAUAGAAGUGGAAAUCCUUUUGCUUUUUUCUUUAAAAAGCAAAAGAUUGUAGCGAAUAGCAGGAAAUAGC